AGGGAUCAUUACAGAGUUGCAAAACUCCCACAAACCAUCGCGAAUCUUACCCGUACGGUUGCCUCGGCGCUGGCGGUCCGGAAGGCCCUCGGGCCCCCCGGAUCCUCGGGUCUCCCGCUCGCGGGAGGCUGCCCGCCGGAGUGCCGAAACCAAACUCUUGAUAUUUUAUGUCUCUCUGAGUAAACUUUUAAAUAAGUCAAAACUUUCAACAACGGAUCUCUUGGUUCUGGCAUCGAUGAAGAACGCAGCGAAAUGCGAUAAGUAAUGUGAAUUGCAGAAUUCAGUGAAUCAUCGAAUCUUUGAACGCACAUUGCGCUCGCCAGUAUUCUGGCGAGCAUGCCUGUUCGAGCGUCAUUUCAACCAUCAAGCUCUGCUUGCGUUGGGGAUCCGCGGCUGCCCGCGGUCCCUCAAAAACAGUGGCGGGCUCGCUAGUCACACCGAGCGUAGUAACUCUACAUCGCUAUGGUCGUGCGGCGGGUUCUUGCCGUAAAACCCCCCAAUUUCUAAGGUUGACCUCGGAUCAGGUAGGAAUACCCGCUGAACUUAA
rnacentral:rRNA from 2 species